rnacentral:rRNA from 1 species
UACGUAGGUGGCAAGCGUUUGUCCGGAUUUAUUGGGUUUAAAGGGUGCGUAGGCGGUCUUUUAAGUCAGUGGUGAAAUACUUCAGCUUAACUGGAGAGGUGCCAUUGAUACUAUUGGUCUUGAAUUCGGUCGAGGUUGGCGGAAUGUGUCGUGUAGCGGUGAAAUGCUUAGAUAUGACACAGAACACCGAUUGCGAAGGCAGCUAGCUAGACCGACAUUGACGCUGAGGCACGAAAGCGUGGGGAUCAAACAGG